UUGCUGAGGGCUAAUAAAAUGAAUAUGCGCAUCGAUCCCUCCUGCAGUCAAAAUUUUACCCUCAGCUGCAAUUACUUCUGUCCCGGGACCUAUAAUUAUAUUCACAUUAGGUUGUACAUCAGGAUUACCUGCUUUACCUAUUUCUGAAAUAUAACCAUUAAUAAUUCCUAUAUCUGCUUUAAUUACUCCACAAUAAUCUAAAAUUACAGCAUUAGUAAUGACAGUGUCGACAGCUCCUUCUGAAUUGCUUAUCUGACUUUGUCCCAUUCCAUCUC
rnacentral:sRNA from 1 species